rnacentral:lncRNA from 1 species
UGUCAGGAGGAAGCCCGGGGAGCUUGACUUGGAAAGACUUACAGUGCAGAGGACAGCAGACACAGCGGAGUGUGGGAGGUAAUGCCUGAAGCUUCACUAGAGGGAUUCAGUGAAAGUUUGCAGCCUGCCUGCAAGGACCUCCCCCAGAGCCUUCCUCAGGAGGCUGGCGGUCAAGCACGGACUCCCCAAAAGAAAGACUGGAGAGGAUAAGUACCCCCAGACUGACAAGUUAACGCGAAGAGAAAGCAUCUCUAAAGCAUGGAGUUCCUUUGGGUGAGGCACCUUAAAGAAACAGAAGGGAACAGCCCUGGCUUAUCUCCGGGUUUUGAAUGACAUCAACUCUACCCAGAUUACUGGGGAAACAGCAGAACCAUUUCCUCAGCAGGGUUUGAGGGAAUUUGUUUGGACAGAUCCAGGAAAUACAAUUUGAUAACUCAGGGUUUAUCUCAUCCUCCCCUGUCAAAUUGGAACCUUUCCUAGAGCAAGAAAUGCAGUCAAGAAUUGCAGGGUGUGUGAUGAAAAGACAAUGACACAGGAGCUGACAAUUCUGACAAGAAUAUGACAGACCAUGGUAUGAGAGAAAUCAGUCAUUCUCUUCCCUCCCACAUCCCCUCUGGUGGGCACAUUGGUUGUUAUGGGUCCACUUGGGCCCCCAAUUCAUAUAGGCUGAAGCCCUAACCCUCAGUAUGACUCAGAAUGUGACUGUAUUUGGAGACAGGGCCUUUAAAGAGGGAACUAAGUUCAAAUGGGGUCGUUAGGGUGGGCCCUAAUUUAACAUGGCAGAUGUCCCGUGAGAAGAUUAGGACACAGACAACACAGACAGAGGGUUGACUGUGUUAGGACAAAGCAAGAAGGUGGCCAUCUGCAAACCAAGGAAAGAGGCCUCAGAAGAAACUACGACUGCCAACACUUAGAUCUCAGAUCUCCAGCCUCCAGAACUGCAAGAAAAUCGAUUUCUGUUGUUUAAGCCACCCGGCCCUAGCAGACUGAAACAUGACAAGGCCGGCGCUGGCCCCCCAAGCACCUCUGCAGAGACCCGGGAUGCCAGGGAGGCCCAUUUACAAGCCAGCAAUUCCAAAGGUAUUAGCCCAGAGUCACGAGGAACCCCGGAACACAUCCAGCAGAUGAACCCCUUGGAGAUCAGCAGGUCAGUUAUACCCUCCCUGACCCCGAGUGAAGUUUACUUUUCCUGCCUCCCUGUACUUCAGGCCUCUGUUCAUUCUCUCUCCAAACCACCUUGCCCUUCACAAAGAGUUUCCCAAGCACUCUGCCGUGGAUCAUAAUGUACAUAACGGCUCUUCACGUGGACGUGUUGCCAGCUCAACCUCCUUAUAAGAAUUCGGGAUGCGUUACAGAAACACGGCUCUCCAAAACUUCGCGUUCCUUUAAAAUUUCAUUCUGAGGAGUAGUCAUGAGGCCUGCUCUCGCCACGGCCAAGUCCACCACAUUAAAGCAAAUGAAAACCUAACUCAGAUGAUUCAUAUAAAAUUAGUCUUUCCAUAACCUUUUAUAUUAUCAAAGUGCUUUGCCCCUCUGGUGUUGGUCUGUGUAAACCAAGUGAUUCAGCCAGCCAAAACAUCAAGGAGAAAGAUCCCACCAGGCUUUGAUUGAAUUACAUAGUCCAUUUUGUUGUUGUUGUUGGCCAUUGCUGAAGUUUUCGUAUGAAAUUAAAAUGAAAGAGCCUACCCCUCCCAGCUAACAUCUCUGUAAGAAAAUCAUUGGCCGGCCUUUGUUCUCCUCCCCUCUGUAGAGUGAAGGACCAAGCCCUCCCAUUUGGUUGCAAGGUGGCACAUUUGAGAGCUUUGUCCCAAGAUACAAGGUAACCCAAAGAGUAGGUCUUCAGCUUGGGUUCUCCCAGCAGCAGACCCUGAGGCAAGAAUUUGAGUGUAAGCGACCCUGGGUGGCUCAGUCAGUGAAACCUCUGACUUCAGCUCAGGUCACCAUCGCGUGGUGCGUGUUUUCAAGAUAUACAUCAGGCUCUCUGCUGUCAGCGAAGAGCUUGCUUCAGAUCCCUUCUCUCCCUCUCUCACUGCCCCUCUCCCCCU